AUUGAACGCUGGCGGCAGGCUUAACACAUGCAAGUCGAGCGGGGGAAGGUAGCUUGCUACCGGACCUAGCGGCGGACGGGUGAGUAAUGCUUAGGAAUCUGCCUAUUAGUGGGGGACAACAUCUCGAAAGGGAUGCUAAUACCGCAUACGUCCUACGGGAGAAAGCAGGGGAUCUUCGGACCUUGCGCUAAUAGAUGAGCCUAAGUCGGAUUAGCUAGUUGGUGGGGUAAAGGCCUACCAAGGCGACGAUCUGUAGCGGGUCUGAGAGGAUGAUCCGCCACACUGGGGCUGAGACACGGCCCAGACUCCUACGGGAGGCAGCAGUGGGGAAUAUUGGACAAUGGGGGGAACCCUGAUCCAGCCAUGCCGCGUGUGUGAAGAAGGCCUUAUGGUUGUAAAGCACUUUAAGCGAGGAGGAGGCUACUUUAGUUAAUACCUAGAGAUAGUGGACGUUACUCGCAGAAUAAGCACCGGCUAACUUUGUGCCAGCCGCCGCAGUAA
rnacentral:rRNA from 1 species